rnacentral:lncRNA from 1 species
GAUUCCUAAGUGUCUGACUUGGAUACUUGUAGACUUAGGGAUAAAGGGGAUAAAGGUCAUGUCUGAGACAUCUUGGGCAUAUGUUUUUUACUGUGCCCCCUGCCUACAUCUAUGCAUAAAAUUAGAAUCAUAAACUCAGCCUUCUCCACCAAUGAUGCUUUCCAAAGCAGGGCUAUAACAUUUUCCUUAUUCCAACACAUACAACUUUGUUUCUGUGGGUGUGUAAUAGAAGGAAAGAUCAGGAAAAUCUAGACAUGGAAUCAUCUAAGUAGAUUUCUGAGGCAAAAGGAUAUCUGGUCUCUGCUAAGGGUUUCUGAUGUGACAAAUACAAAAUGAGGCCCAGGAAUGAGAAUGUGAACAAGCUUGGGUUCGUUUGUAAUGCACAACUGAAUUUGAAAACCAGUAGCCAGGAUAGAGUUGUCAAAUGAAGCAACUUGUCCCCUCAAUUUCUGUUCUUUGCCCUUAAAAAAAAUCAUCCCAUUCUCCCCAAAACUUGAAUACUAUUAGCAAGUAUUUUUGAGCAACCAGAUUAGGUAGGCAACAUGUACAAAAUUUUUAUGGAACAUGUCACUGUAUAUUAAUUGGAUCACUCAGGCAUCUUACUUAUGAAUCCUUACUUCGGGAAAAGCAAUGUGAAGUCAUUAAGUCAAAGUUACUACAUCUGACCUUUUACCGUGUCUUCUAUGGACAGAUCCUCAUCUCCCAGCACGUGAACACAUGCACAGCUCAAACUUUCCACAGACAAGUGUGGUUUUGCAGUGUCUCCUAGCUAGUGCAUCCAGAAAUCCUUCUCCAAUAUCCCUCAGUUAUGAAGUCAUCAUUGGUGCUGACUAUAGGAUGGCUACUACCACUCUACAUGUAUGAUUACUGCACAUUUCAUUUGUAAGGGUGAAUGUCAUCCAUGAGGAUGAAGCAAAUGUCUUCACUGUGCAUGAGGCUUCUUCUGUGCAAAUUGAUGAAUUGAUGAUGCCCAUGCAGUGAAAAAUUGCUCCCACUUACUCCAGUGUAUCCACAUCAUUCCAAAGGUUGGUGUAUGUAUUUCUAACCAAAAUGUACAAAUAAGCUUAAGGAUUUUAGAAGUAGUAGUAAACCAGAUUUCCAUACUCAUCAUAAGAACCAUGUCAGUGAAGAAAAAUGUGGAUUUUGACAAGAUAGGUUAGUAGGGUUUGUGGUAGACACUGAAAUAUUAAAAGCAAAAACUAUACUUGUGAAGCAAAGGGUGUACUUGCUAUUUGUCAAAGAAGGUUUCAAUGUGCUGCACAGAUUCACCAUAUCUGGAAAAUAUGUUUUCUACCUGUUGAUAUAGCAGAUAACUACCAGCCUAGACCCAAUAACAUUGUUUUCUGGUUAAUAAACUAAUGUAAAAGGUCAAAUUCCAAUGUCUUGUACUUUUAUUUGGGGGAAGGGGAGGGAAGGGCAAAGCACAGACAUAGAACGGAACUUGCUUAUCUACAUUGUUAACCAAAAAAAUUUAUUUGUAUUCAUUUCAUGUGAUUUAUGUUUUUGUUUAUUAGAACCACAAGAUCAAGAUUUAUUAUAUAUAAAAAAAAGGUCUUUCCUUUUUUUUAGGCUUGUUCCUUUUAUUUUUUGAGAAGCAAAGGCUGUACAGUUGACAGACUUGAAUAACCCUAAAAUUGCAUGAAGAAGAACUGUUCUUAAAUCCACGCAGCAUGACUUCCGUAGGCAAUGUGACAGGACUUGAGCAUUCACUGUGGAAUUCUGUGCACACGUUUUAUUCUGUUUUAUUUUUUAAUUUGCAUGUCAAGACCUGGUUCCCUUUCUUUUUCCUCGUUCUUUAGUUUCCUCUCUGUGGAGACUGUACACUUAUUUUGAUUUCAUUUUCCUUUUGGUUGGUUUCUUUUCUUCUGUAGUGAUGUUUAGAAAGGUAUUUUUUGUUUGUCGGUUUGGUUUUCGUUUUCAUAUCCAUCUUUGAAUUCUUUAGGGGUUCCAGCUAACGGGUGACAGGAAAAAAAAUCUCGUUCACAUUUGGUGCUUAAUGACUGCACAUCUUAGUGUUCUUAUAAUUUCUCUAAUUUGCAUGUUACAGAACUGAAGCCAGGACAAGAAAUAGCAAUGAAAGCGAGAGAACUUUACCAAGUGGUCGUUGACUGAAAUAAUAAUAUGCAUGUUGUUCUCCUUCUCCCUCCUGCAUGCAGGGAUUUGGUUUCGUAACUUUCGAAAAUAGUGCGGAUGCGGACAGGGCGAGGGAGAAAUUGCACGGUACCGUGGUAGAGGGCCGUAAAAUCGAGGUGCAUGUCAAAAAUAUUUUCCUUUUCCUCUUUUUUUUUUUUUUAUAAAUGUCUGCUUCACGCUCAUUCGUCCUUCCAGGUGCAUCAUUGGUGUCUCGUGUGUGACCCUAUUCCCUUCUCAUUGUUUAUAUAUAUUUAUAUAUUUAUAUAUAUUUAUAUAUAAAAAGGAAAACUGGCCUUACGUUUUCUGUUAAAUUUUACUUUACAUUAUUCUUUAUAGGACUGCUUGAGAGUAGAUGGCAAAACUGAGAUGAGAGGAAGGUUAAUAAGAAAGGUUCUGUUUGUUUGUUUUAGUUUAUUUUCAAUGUUUUAUGAACAACGGGUGCCAUAGGGUCCAAAGAGGACACAGUAUUUAAACCAAACCAAAUAGAGUGAGCUUUGUUUUGUUUUGUUUAUUUUUCAGUCCACUUUAGAGUUGAAGAGGGAUCCACAGUGGUUUGCAAAUUAGACCAAACUUCAAAGACAAUAACAUUCAAAAAUACUAAAACAGAAAAGAAAACAAACAAACCAAAAAAGAAAUGAGAGGCACUUCUCAUUAAUGUUUCAUUCGAAAACAAAAGCCAACUUGAAUUCUUGCCUUCUUCCGAUUAGACAUUGAACAAUAAAUCAGCAUUUCCCAUCUCUGCACAUGGCCUCUGUUGACUGGCAAUGCAAACCCCACAUUCUGACAUCCAACGCCUGCCCUUUAUACCACUGGGUUCCUCUUCAACACAAUCAAAGGGUCAUAUCUGUUAAAACUUAAAAACAAGC